AUUUAAGUAGCUUAAUAUAAAUUAAAGUAUAAUAUUGAAGAUAUUAGGAUGGGUUUUACCCCCUUAAGUA
rnacentral:tRNA from 1 species